GCCAUGCCCAUUGAAGCCAUAUCGCCCGGUACUGCUGAGGUCACGUAAGGACAGGUCCGGUUGCAUACAAGUAUUUGUGCACCGUGGUGCUAUUCAAGGUCUCCUAACAGGAAACAGGAAAUAAUUUAACUGGGGUGAGCAAUCCACAGUCCACAGGCAAAAAAGCAGUGUGCCGGCAAUGGCUGGUGUUCAUCUAUGAACAUCUGUGAGCUAAGAAGUGGGGGCCACAGCGUAAAAUCCAGUAAAAUAACAGCUAAAUGAAAUGCUGUCUUCAUAUCUCUCCUCAAUUGAUCUCAGGGUGAAACACUUUCUGUGCGGCAUGAAAGUAGAAGCCGAUGCUGUGUCUCACAGGCAGUCUGCUGCACCUCCAGUCACCAGUCUGCCAAACUGAAGUUUGCUGAUGACACCACUCUCAUUGGGCUUAUCUCUGGGGGGAUGAGUCUGCCUACAGGAGGGAGAUUGAUCAGACAGUGGAGAUAGUUGUAGACUUCAGGAAGAACACAGCUUCACCCUCCCCCAUCAUCCUGUGUGACUCCCCAGUCAGAACUGCGGAGUCCUUCCAUUUCCCGGGGACCAUCAUCACCUAGGACCUCAAGUGGGAGCUAAACAUCAGCUCCCUGAUCAAGAAGGCCCAGCAGAGGAUGUACUUCCUGCUGCAGUUGAAGAAGUUCAACCUGCCAAGGACAAUGAUGGUGCACUUCUACACCUCCAUCAUAUCCUCCAUCCUCACCUCCUCCAUCACAUUCUGGUACACUGCUGCUACUGCCAGGGACAGAGGCAGACUGCAGCGUGUCAUCCGGUCUGCUGAGAAGGUGAUCGGCUGUAACCUGCCUUCUCUCCAGGACCUGUACACCUCCAGGACCCUGAGGCGAGCAGGAAAGAUCAUGGCAGAUCCCUCCCUGGUCACAAACUCUUCAGGACACUCCCUUCUUGCAGGAGGUUGUGGUCCAUUAAAGCCAAGACCUCACGCCACAAGAACAGUUUCUUCCCCUCUGCAUCUGGCCUCCUCAACAAGAUCUAGCCCCCCCUCAACACACACACGCAGACUGACACAGACUAUAAUCCCCCCACCCCCCACUACAUGUUACAUUAACGUACAUCUAUGCGUUGCAUUACUGUGCAUCUCUCUGGACAAUCACUGCCACCUUCAAACAUUUGCACUCUACACUUUACAUUUUAAUUAUGUAUAUUUAUGCUCCUUAUAAAUAUAGUUUUUGCUUUUUGCUCUUUUUUUUUCACUAUCACUGUCCUUUAGCACGGAUAUACCAAGACAAAUUCCUUGUAUGUGCAAACUUACUUGGCAAUAAAGUCUGAUUCUGAUUCUGA